ACGAACGCUGGCGGCGUGCCUCAUACCUGCCAGUAGAACGCUGAAGAGAGGAGCUUGCUCUUCUUGGAUGAGUUGCGAACGGGUGAGUAACGCGUAGGUAACCUGCCUUGUAGCGGGGGAUAACUAUUGGAAACGAUAGCUAAUACCGCAUAACAAUGGAUGACACAUGUCAUUUAUUUGAAAGGGGCAAUUGCUCCACUACAAGAUGGACCUGCGUUGUAUUAGCUAGUAGGUGAGGUAAUGGCUCACCUAGGCGACGAUACAUAGCCGACCUGAGAGGGUGAUCGGCCACACUGGGACUGAGACACGGCCCAGACUCCUACGGGAGGCAGCAGUAGGGAAUCUUCGGCAAUGGGGGCAACCCUGACCGAGCAACGCCGCGUGAGUGAAGAAGGUUUUCGGAUCGUAAAGCUCUGUUGUAAGUCAAGAACGGGUGUGAGAGUGGAAAGUUCACACUGUGACGGUAGCUUACCAGAAAGGGACGGCUAACUACGUG
rnacentral:rRNA from 1 species